GCUACCAUCCUCAGUGUUUUAUAUGCCUGAUAAAAAAACUGAAAAUAUUAAUUUUGAUUAUAAAAGCUAUCUACUUUGUACCGAGUUUGUUCAAAAUGAGUUAGACCCUUGUUGAGAGAUUUAUCAUACUCCUAAGAUCAAGACAUUUAUUCAGAAAGAUUCACUCUUCCGAAGUAUUAUUGCAUUAGAGGCAGGGGCUAUGCAAAAAUAAAGAUAUUUCGAGGAAAUAAAAAGGAGCAAGUGCUCGACAACCUCGC
rnacentral:lncRNA from 1 species